UCCCUGGCAGUUUAGUGGCUAGGACCCAGCGUUUUCACUGCUGUGGCACAGGUUCAAUGCCUGGUCUGGGAA
rnacentral:tRNA from 1 species